rnacentral:lncRNA from 1 species
UGGAAACUUAGAGGCAAGUAACGGAACACGGGGCGCGCUGGGGUCUGGGAAACCAGCCUGGGGCGGCGGGCGACCCCAGGCCUCUGGCUGCGAGCCUGGCGCCGCCUGCUGAGCCUCCCGUCCCCGGGGGAAUCCGCCCUGUGACUCCGGCAGGGACGUGGCCUCGGUAGCCUCCCAAGUCCCACGGGCCCUGAGAGGCGCACAGGCUGGGCGGAGGCUUGCUGUGGCCUCCGCUCAUCCUUCAGGAAACUCCUCUCCUCCGAGCGCCUCCCGGGGCGAUCGAGACGCACCGCUCCACCGAGCCCGAGCCCAACUCCCAGCCACCAUGCUUCUACUCUUGUUGGGGAUCCUGUUCCUUCACAUCGCGGUGCUAGUGUUGCUCUUCGUCUCCACCAUCGUCAGCCAAUGGCUCGUGGGCAAUGGACACAGGACUGAUCUCUGGCAGAACUGUACCACAUCCGCCUUGGGAGCCGUCCAGCACUGCUACUCCUCAUCUGUGAGCGAAUGGCUUCAGUCUGUCCAGGCCACCAUGAUCCUGUCUGUCAUCUUCAGCGUCCUGUCCCUGUUCCUGUUCUUCUGCCAGCUCUUCACUCUCACCAAAGGCGGCCGCUUUUACA